rnacentral:misc_RNA from 1 species
UCGAGUUUGACCGUUGGGGACUGUGCUGGCCUUUGGGCAUGUGCACGUCCCCUUCAUUUCCACACACCUCGUGCACCCUCGAGGCGGCGGCCCUCCUGGAGGGGGCUUGCCUGCCAUUUUUCACACGCACUCUGCUAUGUAUUUUGGGAUGUCUUUUAUAAAAUUGAAA